UACGUAGGAUGCAAGCGUUGUCCGGAAUUAUUGGGCGUAAAGAGUUCGUAGGCGGUUACCUAAGUCUGGUGUUAAAGACGGAAGCUCAACUUCCGCAUGGCAUUGGAUACUGGGUGGCUAGAGUGUGGAAGAGGUAACUGGAAUUCCAGGUGUAGCGGUGAAAUGCGUAGAUAUCUGGAGGAACACCGGUGGCGAAAGCGAGUUACUGGUUCACAACUGACGCUGAGGAACGAAAGCCAGGGUAGCAAAAGG
rnacentral:rRNA from 1 species